rnacentral:misc_RNA from 1 species
UAUAAUUUUUUCUGUCCCAAGAUGGCGGAUAUUAACAAAUCUGAUCUGUUUGUUCGUCUGUACCUUAUCCUGGAACUUAGUGGCUUUCUCCUCCAUUUAGUCGGGUUCUGUACGCCCUACUGGCGAUCGCUGCAUUUCAAAUACACAGAGGAUGUCAUUCAAGACAUCGAUAUUGUGAUCCAGGGGUUUGACGAGGGGAUAUGGCGGAGAUGUGUCAAUGGAAUUUGUUCCGAGAUCAACGUAGUUGGAAGAGGUGAUCUAUAGUAUUAAUAUAAAAUUAUGUCUUUAUGUAAGGGGUGGGGGAGGGGUAUUCCUCAAUGUGUAUCAUUUUGAUAAAUUGAUUUUUCUUUGAAUUGCAUGAUUCAUGAUGUUACACUCUGUAACUUUUUUUUCUGUGUUGAGAGGGUAAAAAUAGGACAAACAUAAUUAUUUUUUAUCUAAACAAUAUAUAUUGUGAUUAAACCUCAACGAGUUUCUGAAAUAAAAAUAUGGUAAAAAGAUGUCCAUUUUUUUAAUAACUUUCUUGACAUGACUAAUGUAAAAACAAACCAGGAACUCGAAUAUAAUGUAGUGGGAUUGUUAGAAACAACGUGACGAGUGUUGUAUUGUCAAUUAAUUCCUGGUUCAUUAUGACCUUAUUACAACAUGCAUUUUGAUAUUUUUUCUCUCUCCGUCAGACUGGUUGCAGGUGGUGAGGGUGUUUGAGAUUGUCGCCCUUGGUUCCUCUCUGUUUGCCACCUUUCUCAUCGUCAUCCAUUUGGUGUGUCAGAAGAUUUCCCAUACCAGGAGGGUCUACUUUGUCUCAAUCGUAUCAUGCUUUGUGACAGCUGCAAGCAUUUUGUUGUCUACCAUUGUAUAUGGAGCAUCUGUCAGAGAAGGGAUCACGUGGUCCUAUGGCUGUGUGGUGAUUGGAGGAAUUUUUUACACAGCAUCUGGAACAUUGAUGCUGUUCACAUACUUUCUGACUCGUCCAAAAUAAUGAACUUUACAAAGUUAGGAACAGGUGCUUUUAUAAUUAAAUAGCAAUUAAGUGCUCAAAAAUGUUCUUACAUUUCAAAUUAAGGCUUUUUUGUGGGUCAACAAGAGCGAGAGAGAGAGAGAGAGAGAGAGAGAGAGAGAGAGAGAGAGAGAGUAUUUGAUGUUUAUUUUUUUUCAAUAAAAUACAUAUGAAGGUU